GGAGAUGUACCCAAGCGGUUGAAGGGUCCGCACUCGAAAUGCGGUAGGUCGGCUCAAAACCGGCGCGAGAGUUCGAAUCUCUCCAUCUCCGCCA
rnacentral:tRNA from 28 species